UGUAAUUCAAUUUAUUUUCUGAUCAGGAAUUUGUAUAUUGAGUGCUAAGUGUACAGCUCAAAGUCUGGAUCUGUGAUUUAAGCCUAGAGGGAAGAUAAGCCCGUUGCCAUAGGAGCAUAAAAACUCUGCAGCAGCAGACUUUGAAUACAUGAGGUACAUGGUACAGCAGUAAGCGAACAGAUUCUUUAAUCUGGAGGUUGACCGUUAUGGAGGUUCAUGAUGACAAAAUGGAAGUCUGGAAUAUUAUGCUCAACCAGGAUAUGCAGUUUGAUAAAUGGAGGAAACAGACUAAUGAAUCAUUCAAUCAGCUGAUGGAGUGAUGAAUGGCAGGUGUAAACAAUUUAAAGAUAUUUAGUACUGGCAUCAUCCUGAGUAGCAGAAAAUAAAAGAAUAAAAUGGUAACUCUAA